CCUACGGGAGGCAGCAGUAAGGAAUAUUGGUCAAUGGGCGCAAGCCUGAACCAGCCAUGCCGCGUGCAGGAAGACGGCCCUAUGGGUUGUAAACUGCUUUUGAACAAGAGAAAACCUCGGUACGUGUACCGAGCUGAUAGUAUUGUUAGAAUAAGCAUCGGCUAACUUCGUGCCAGCAGCCGCGGUAAGACGAAGGAUGCAAGCGUUAUCCGGAUUCAUUGGGUUUAAAGGGUGCGUAGGUGGCCUGAUAAGUCAGUGGUGAAAUCUCUCAGCUUAACUGAGAAACUGCCAUUGAUACUGUCGGGCUUGAGUACAGAUGAUGUGGGCGGAAUAUGACAUGUAGUGGUGAAAUACUUAGAUAUGUCAUAGAACACCGAUUGCGAAGGCAGCUCACAAAACUGUAACUGACGCUGAGGCACGAAAGUGCGGGGAUCAAACAGGAUUAGAUACCCUGGUAGUCCGCACCGUAACGAUGAUUACUCGUUGUUGGCAAUAUGACCGUCAGCGACCAAGCGAAAGCGAUAAGAAUCCACCUGGGAGUACGCCGGCAACGGUGAAACUCAAAGGAAUUGAGGCGNGAGAGNGCGAGGACGACACGAGGGAGGAG
rnacentral:rRNA from 1 species